UGGCAGCCAAGCGUUCAUAGC
rnacentral:siRNA from 1 species